GCCCUUGUAGAUGAAAUGGUGCAUCACCCAUGCUGAGUUCAAAGGCAGCACAGUGAGAAAAUGGGAAGUGGAGGUUCGAAUCCUCCCGAGGGCA